GGGUUGAGACUGUCCUUUAAAUA
rnacentral:siRNA from 1 species